rnacentral:rRNA from 1 species
UACGUAGGGGGCAAGCGUUGUCCGGAUUUAUUGGGCGUAAAGAGCGUGUAGGCGGCCAGACAGGUCCGUUGUGAAAACCCGAGGCUCAACCUCGAGACGCCGAUGGAAACCGUUUGGCUAGAGUCCGGAAGAGGAGAGUGGAAUUCCUGGUGUAGCGGUGAAAUGCGCAGAUAUCAGGAAGAACACCCGUGGCUAAGGCGGCUCUCUAGUACGGUACUGACGCUGAGACGCGAAAGCGUGGGGAGCGAACAGG